UACGUAGGGUGCGAGCGUUGUCCGGAAUUAUUGGGCGUAAAGAGCUCGUAGGCGGUGUGUCACGUCGAUCGUGAAAACUUGGGGCUUAACCCUGAGCUUGCGGUCGAUACGGGCAUCACUGGAGUUCGGCAGGGGAGACUGGAAUUCCUGGUGUAGCGGUGAAAUGCGCAGAUAUCAGGAGGAACACCGAUGGCGAAGGCAGGUCUCUGGGCUAACACUGACGCUCAUGCACGAAAGCGCGGGGAGCAAACAGG
rnacentral:rRNA from 1 species